UUAGCUCAAAUCUGUAUGGAGCUGGAACGUUUGCCUACGUUUGCCGCUAAGGGCGCUGUUCCAAUUGCAUACAAAUUCGAGUUA
rfam:Bombyx mori DNA, contig: Bm_scaf47_contig25469, strain: p50T/Dazao, build 2, whole genome shotgun sequence.